AGGGAAGACCAUUUUCUUGUUUAGUUGGAAGGACAUAAAAGGAGAUUCCAGAACUUCUGUCCAGUAGAGGAAGGGAAAUAAAAGGAAGAAAUAAGUAAAAUUUAUGCCCAUACACUGACAUUUUCUUUUUCAUUCCUCAACUUGCCUUCCACUCAAUGAAGUAAGUCAAUACAAUCAUGGAUGGGGGAUUGCUAUCCAUAAACA
rnacentral:misc_RNA from 1 species